UAAAUUCAAAUAAGAUCUUUCUCCGCUCCGUCCAAAGCCUAAUUGAGACAAAUCAGCUCUUACUGUUCUCCGGUCUUUGCUCUUGAAGAUCCGCUCUUGAGAACCUCUAUCUCUUUCUUCAAAGCCUCAUUCGAAGCCUGACAGUCUUACAUACAGUAUAUUACCCGCAAGUUCAUCUUCUUUGAUAGGAUAUUAGAUUAGUCGGAAAUCCAAGUUCCAGUUGGUUCUCAAUCUUCAGAGGUGGGCUUACUUCCUUUUUAAAGCAAACAUGUGGACAUAAAAAAGAAUAAAAUUGAUAGAAUAGAGGAAGAUUAAUGUGCAGCUGAUUCUAUAC
rnacentral:lncRNA from 1 species